rnacentral:lncRNA from 1 species
CUGAACCCUGAACCCUGAACCCUGAACCCUGAACCCUGAACCCUGAACCCUGAACCCUGAACCCUGAACCCUGUCUUAAUUUGAAACUAGAUUACUUUAUUGUCUGUCAUACUUGAUUAUUCUCCUUAAUGUUACAAGCCUGAUAUUUGCUAUCCUAUGUCAUCUUAGCCAUAUCUUGCUAUAACUCGUGUGUGUGUAUCAUUGAUAGAGUUCCACUUAACUUAGUUCAUG